AAAAAGGCAAACCCUGAGUUUCCGUGUCCAACUUUGACUGUUCGUCUUAUAUGAAAAUUUUUUAUAAUUCGUAUUUUCAUUGUUGUUAGAAGAUAAAAUAUGAUUAAUAUUUUACGCAUGACUUGUUUUUUUAAUUUUUUUCAUAUUUUUUUCAAACAAGACGGACGGUCAAACGUUGAGCACGGAAAUCAGGGUUUGUCUUUUU
rfam:Oryza sativa Japonica Group DNA, chromosome 1, cultivar: Nipponbare, complete sequence.